UACGGAGGGGGCUAGCGUUGUUCGGAAUUACCGGUGCGUAAAGCGCACGUAGGCGGCUUUGUAAGUUAGAGGUGAAAGCCCGGGGCUCAACCCCGGAAUAGCCUUUAAGACUGCAUCGCUUGAACGUCGGAGAGGUGAGUGGAAUUCCGAGUGUAGAGGUGAAAUUCGUAGAUAUUCGGAAGAACACCAGUGGCGAAAGGCGGCUCACUGGACGACUGUUGACGCUGAGGUGCGAAAGCGUGGGGAGCAAACAGG
rnacentral:rRNA from 1 species